AAAGUUGCUAGCAACUUGGAGGGUUCAUUGUUUCAUUCAGAAACAAAGAUGAAUUGAACUAGAGGUAAAGCACUAGAGAAGGUUCGGGAUUCAUCAUUUGAAGCCAAAUUUUACUCUUUUUGUAUUAAUUUUGCAAGGCAACCAUAACAAUGAAUAGUUAAACCUCUCUUUGAUUGAAUUAGAUGUAAUCAAUCACAACUCUCAUUCUCAUGUAACUCUUUUGAUUUAGAUAUAUAUUAUAGUUAUU
rnacentral:lncRNA from 1 species